AUUGAACGCUGGCGGCAGGCCUAACACAUGCAAGUCGAACGAGUGGCGGACGGGUGAGUAAUGUCUGGGAAAAUGCCCGAUGGAGGGGGAUAACUACUGGAAACGGUAGCUAAUACCGCAUACCAUCGGAUGUGCCCAGAUGGGAUUAGCUAGGAGGUGGGGUAACGGAUCACCUAGGAGACGAUCCUUAGCUGGUGUGAGAGGAUGACCAGCCACACUGUGACUGAGACACGUUCCAGACUCCUACGGGAGGCAGCAGUGGGGAAUAUUGCACAAUGGGCGCAAGCCUGAUGCAGCCAUGCCGCUUGUAUGAAGAAGGCCUUCGGGUUGUAAAGUACUUUCAGCGGGGAGGCGUUACUCGCAGAAGAAGCACCGGCUAACUCCGUGCCAGCAGCCGCGGUAAUAC
rnacentral:rRNA from 1 species